rnacentral:lncRNA from 1 species
GAAGAGGAAGGGAACAUACCUUAUGAAGAUGGAGAUGGUUCAAAUGACCAUGAGGCCAAUGAUGUUGCUUGUGCCGAUGAUGUUGCUUCUGACAAUGACAACGAAUGAUAGUCUUGUGAACUAUUUUAUGGCUCAUAAUAUAUUUCUUUGCAAACUAUAUGUGAUAAUUUAAUGUGUGGAAUACUGGAACACCAUGUUUGUUUUCUUAAUUGAAGUAUGUGAGACAUCAGUUGUUUGUAUGCAAUUAAAUAUCUAUUUAUACUUAUUAUUCAUGAUAUAUAUAUAUAUAUAAAUUAAAAUUAUGUGAGAUUAUUAGGUGCCGCUAUUGGAACUUAGCGUCCGCUAUCCGCAAUCCGCUACCUCGACGUCAAUCCGCUAACAACUCGCUAUACGCUAUUUAUUACCUUGGGUACAAGAUAAUGGUUGGUGUUUCCUUUCCUAACGGGGUAAUGGAAACAGCGGCAAACAAACACCCCUUUUACGCGUAAGUGUAAGUAGGUGUGAUCCUCUCAACGAGCAGAGUUGGUACGAGCCAUU